GUGGUAGGACGAGCAGGAGAAAAACAAACGACACCGGCAUGGUGUGACAGGAUCUUAUGGUACGGAAAAGGAGUAAAACAACAUUCUUAUUUCCGUAGCGAGAGCAAGUUCUUCGACCAUUAGGCCCGUAUCGGCUCUUUUCUCUGCACAAAUUGAACUCAUCAAGUCUGAGGAACAAGAAAGAGGUAAGGGGGAGGCUUCAUCUACAUUGCAUUCACUAAUGUCCAAAGAGUCAGAAGCACUAUCAUCAAACAAAAAAUGUCCUAGAACAAACAAAAGGCUAUGAUGCUGAGUUCAUUGGAUAAGAUAAAUUCUCAGUGACUAAACAUUAUUAAGUUUUAGUUUCCAUGAUUCUUUUAUUGAUU